ACGUGCGACUGGCGGAUCAGUGGAGUUUACCACAGGGAGCACGUUACCGAAGAAGAGCCGACCGCCUGGGU
rnacentral:ncRNA from 1 species